GCCGGCGUAGCUCAGUUGGUAGAGCAGCUGAUUCGUAAUCAGCAGGUCAGCGGUUCAAGUCCGCUCGCCGGCUUCA
rnacentral:tRNA from 1 species